rnacentral:misc_RNA from 1 species
CAUGAGUGGUGUUUGGUUUGUUACGGGUGGUUGGCUCUUUGCUUGCGCAACAACUUCCACCUGGCACACCUUUUCAGUUUCGCAUCAAUGCUUUUAUUGCCUUGAGCGCAUGAUGGGUUUUUGUGUUGCGUACCUAAUUGAUGGUAUCGUUUGAUGAAUUCAUAUUUCCUAUUUCGUCUUCUAUCGCAAAUGCGAUGUGAGAUGAACCUUGAAGCAGCCUUUGUGAUCCACAUUUUCGAUACGCAUGCAUUGAUGGUGUGGCCCAUUGAGUGUUGCUUGGUCUCAUGGAUAUGGAACCUAAUGUGGGCAUUGGAUCUUUUAAGUUCCUUGUUUGCUCAGUUUUAGCUUCUCUAACACGACUUUUUAUUACGUUGGGCACGUCUCAACGUGGUAGAGCUAUGUCGAAUAUGAAUG